CAACGAUAGAUGGCCAGGCCAUGAGUUGGACUCUCACCAAAGUUUGAAUCCAGACAACCCCCUGAUGAAAGGGUGGAGCUACUCGUUCUGCUUGCUGCACAGCAGCUGAUAGGAAGCCUUGUCAGCGGGUUGUCUCCAAAGCACAGAUCACUGGGAUACAGCUUCCAGCCCUGGAGGACAUCUGUAAGGACUCCACACACCCAUGCCAUCGUCUUAUUGAACUCCUUCCAUCUGGCAGACGUUAUAAGACCUUCUACGCCCACACCUCCAGACUGAGAAAUAGCUUCUUCCCCAGAGCCAUAACUGCUCUGAAUCAGCCCACCAAGUAUCCCCCAUAAACUGUCUGACAACGGACUUCACAUGCACUAUGCCACCAAAUAAGCUAUACAGUUACACAGGGGUCUACUCUCCUUCAUUUGCGUUACUGUCCGGAUAUUGUGUUCAGUAUCUGCGUCUACAACACAAUGACAGCUGCUGUAAUUAAUAACCUCAGCUUUCAGGGAUUAAUACAUCCCUCCACAUUUAUGAAGACUCUAUAUCUAAAUUCCUGUACUGUACUGGUUUUGUUGCUGCUUUGCACAUCUGAGCUGUAGUGCACUAUUUACCACUGCCGGACACUGUUUGUACUGUUUGUUACUUCAUUGCUAUUUCAUCUUAUUUAUUGUUUUAUUUUUACCCUAUUUAUUGUUUUUAUAGCAUCGAGUAUGGAAGAUGCAAACUUAAUCUCAUUGCACUUGUGCAAUGACAAUAAAGAUAUUCUAUUCUAUUAUAUUGAUGUUGGGAUACAAUUUGAGCAAGACAGAAUGUACAGAAGGACCUGAACCUGUCAGAGCAGAUCACUAUGGGGGAAUUUAAGUUGAUUUUAAAAGAUGGAGAAAAUAGUAGUCUUCGUCAUUGUGAUUGCUCCUAAAUUGUAACUGAAAAUCUUUUUAGAAAAUUGUACCUGUUAUGCAUUAUAACUGGAUUGCAUAUUGCAUAUUAACUGGAUAUUGUGUUCACUCAUUUGUGGUGUGUGACAGUUGUCUGUUUGUAUAGUUUGUGUUUAUUGUUGUAACAAUGUUUAUGUUGCUCUCUUGGCCAGGUCACUCUUGAAAAAGAGAUUUUAAUCUCAAUGAAUCCUGGUUAAAUAAAGGAUAUAUAUGAUGGGGUGAAUUCAGAUGGGGAGCUGCAGUACCUGUAUCUGUCGGGUACACAAACAUGAAACCAGUGCACAGAGGGACCAGACUGAUAUCCAUGCAGAAUACAGACAUGGGGAGAGGGCCUGGAGAACAAAAUUUAGUGUAGCUCUGUUUGAAAAAAACAGACUAAGUACUGAUGUUGAAAUUUAAAUCUAACCAAUGGUGACAGACUUGUGCUUAUCCUGCCCCAUUCCUCCUUUCAAAUGAGGAAUCAGUCGCUGCAUGGACGUAUUUUAACCUACAACUUGUUUUAUACAGUUUUUAACACUCACGGGUCCUGACUUACAACUACCGCAUGUCCACAGUCCUCACUGGCCAAAUCCGGUCACCAGCUAAACGACUACUUGCUGCGUCAACUCUGACACGACCCCCACAGUCACGCUCACUAGCUCCACUCUGUGGCUUGGUGCUCCCAAUGUCUUCCCUCACAAACAACUCCCUCAGUGCAACAGAUACGCUCAGAGAACCCAAAGCCCAAUGAAGGACCAAAAACUUCGACUAGACCUAUCAUAAUUAGCAACAGAAUCACUAAAGGUCAUUCAAAGAAAGCUGUUAACUUCUCCGGUUUGCAUUAUGUCACAUACUAAUCCAUACCUGUCACGCCCACUACAUGUACAGCUAAACUAUCUCUUCUCAACAUCAGAUCCCUCACAAACAAAUCUUUUUUAGUAAAUUAUCUUAUUUCUGUAGAUAACCUUGAUUUUAUGCUUUUAACCGAAACCUGGCUGGACUAAGCCAGUAGUGCAGACAUUCUAAGUGAAUCAGCCCCUCAGAAAUAUACUUUUAUUAGCACCACCAGGGACGACAGAAGAGGUGGGGGGAUAGCAAUCCUAUUUAAAGACUCAUAUCAAUGCAAGCAAGUGUCAUUUUGGUGAUUUUGAUUUAAUGUCCACCUCGCAUUUUACUUGUAAUUAUUUAUAGACCCCCAAAAGCACUUAGUACAAUCUUUUAUUGAGGAAUUGAGCAAACUCUUAUCUGCGAUUUGCACAGACUUUGAUUUUUUAUUAAUAGCUGCAUCCACGUGGAUAACCCAAAAGACAGUUAUGCAAAUGAAUUUGAAGCACUGCUUGAUACUUUUGGCCUAUGUUAGCAUGUGAAGGAGCCCACCCACUCUCAAGGACAUACUCUGGACUUGAUAAAGGUCUCCAUACUUCAACACUAGUCAAGAACUUAGCUCUAUCAGGUCACUUCUGGGUAUUUUUUGAUUUGUGUGUUACUUCCAAUCUCAACAAUGGCUGUAAAAAAGAGAU